GACGAACGCUGGCGGCGUGCCUAAUACAUGCAAGUCGAGCGAAGUUUUUCUGGUGCUUGCCCUAGAAAAACUUAGCGGCGAACGGGUGAGUAACACGUAAAGAACCUGCCUCAUAGACUGGGACAACUAUUGGAAACGAUAGCUAAUACCGGAUAACAGUAUUUCUCGCAUGAGAGAUAUUUAAAAGUUGGUUAUGCUAACACUAUGAGAUGGCUUUGCGGUGCAUUAGCUAGUUGGUGGGGUAAAGGCCCACCAAGGCGACGAUGCAUAGCCGACCUGAGAGGGUGAUCGGCCACACUGGGACUGAGACACGGCCCAGACUCCUACGGGAGGCAGCAGUAGGGAAUCUUCCGCAAUGGGCGAAAGCCUGACGGAGCAACGCCGCGUGAGUGAAGAAGGAUUUCGGUUCGUAAAGCUCUGUUGUUAGGGAAGAAUGGAUAUGUAGUAACUAUACAUGUAAGAGAUGGUACCUAACCAGAAAGCCACGGCUAACUACGUG
rnacentral:rRNA from 1 species